GUGGCGAGUGGCGAACGGGUGAGUAAUACAUCGGAACGUGCCCAGUCGUGGGGGAUAACUACGGGAAACCGUAGCUAAUACCGCAUACGAACUCUGGUUGAAAGCGGGGGAUCGCAAGACCUCGCGCGAUUGGAGCGGCCGAUGGCAGAUUAGGUAGUUGGUGGGGUAAAGGCCUACCAAGCCGACGAUCUGUAGCUGGUCUGAGAGGACGACCAGCCACACUGGGACUGAGACACGGCCCAGACUCCUACGGGAGGCAGCAGUGGGGAAUUUUGGACAAUGGGCGCAAGCCUGAUCCAGCCAUUCCGCGUGCAGGAUGAAGGCCCUCGGGUUGUAAACUGCUUUUGUACGGAACGAAACGGCCUGCUCUAAUACAGCGGGCUAAUGACGGUACCGUAAGAUAA
rnacentral:rRNA from 1 species